rnacentral:lncRNA from 1 species
AAAAAAUUCAGGAUGGUCUUGAAUGUAGUUUUCUAAAGCACCAGAAAGCAAUUAUCUGCCAUACCUCACUUUUUAAAAAAAGCAGAGCCAGAAGGUUACCUGCUGUUAGGGCCAUUCACAGUGGUAUUGUUUCAACUAGCACCCUCCAAUGUGGAUUACAUGAUACCUGUGAACCAGUUCUGAAGGAACCUGCGCAGUGCUGCACCAGCAGGGCCAGGAGGCUGUUGUGGCUGAGACGAGAACAAGG